AUUAAGAGACAAAUUUUCUGAAACUAAAUUCAUUUUAAAGUAGAAACCAAAACUUAAAUUAAACUCGAAAAUAAUGUCUGACCCAUUAUAAUUCUCCCUUCAUAUUGGCCUUUACAACGCCCUAUAUGGCGUUUAAAAUUACAGUCUAUCUUUCGUAAUAAGCUAACUAAAUUUAAACAAAAAAUAAACAACAUUACAACAAUAUUCAAACCCAACAAUACUCAAACGUAAAUAUAAAACAGAGAUUAUCUAUAAGGAUAAAUGUUAAAACAAUCCGAUAUAGCGUUUAUAAUAGCUGGUUGGUAGAUGUUUACUAUUUUUGGCAAAACCUCCGUUGCAAACCUCCAUUUACCUGAAUAAAAUAAUUUUUACUUUGAAAAUGAUGCGCUGUCACGUUAACAUCAGCUGUUAGUUUACAUAAGACUCCAUCUACGUUCAUUUACACUCAGAGCAACGUCUGAGUUCUCAAACUAAAACAGGGUCUGCAGUGUUUGCGAACGAAUCCGUUUAUGAGGGUUGAAAAUGGUGAUGUAGUGUAGAUGAAAGGCAUAAACGUAGCAAAAGUAACGCGUUUUAAAGGAUAAACGCAUUAAUGUAAACAUAGCCUUAGUUUAGACACAGUAAUUCUCAGUUACAUUUGCUAUGUAGUCUUGAUGGCAACUAUCAGUAAGGCUGCACUACAGUUUAUUUUAAGUGUGUACUGUGUAAUAUGAUUCCAUACAUUGCGAUAUUGUUUACAUGCAACGCAAUUGUUUAGCCUACCAGGUACUGUCGCAAUGUCAUAUGCAACCUGUUUUUCAACAGUUUAUAUGACUUACAGAAACACAAAACAUUGUUAAAUACAGAAGUUGAUGGGCAUCUGAAAACAGUAAUCUGAAAACAGCUUUUAUAUACUGUAACUAAUCACUGCAGAUGUUCAUCUCUGAAGAUGUUCUGAAUUUAGUUUAUGUAGGGGAGAGAGGGGGCCAAAGUACCAUUUUUCAGAAAAACGUAAUUUAAAAAAAUAAUGUUAUAGAGAGAGAUAUAUUUUCGCCCUGGUCAAUAACUCACAAGUAUGGUCUAUCAAUACCUGGUGGAAUUUUGUAAAAAUGUAAAACAUUGCAGUUGCCGCGAAAUGCAUUCUGGGAAACUUGGCUGUCAGAAGUCCGCACAAGUCUCCACCUAAUGCAUCCUCGAUAAAAUGGGCGGAUCAAGAACACAUCCGGGGAUCUUAUGUGAACUUGGCUUGAUGCGAACUUUGAUUUGGAACAGUACGCGACUGAUGACGUUUUACAAGUCCACAAGAACGCAAGUACAGACAAAAACAUAUUGAGAAACGGCCCACAGGUUUUCAAACCUGUCCUGGAGGACCACUAGUACUGCACAAUUUGCAUGUCUCCCUCAUUAGACACACCUGGUUUAAAUCUUCAGCUCAUUAGUAGAGACUGCAAGACCUGAACUGGGUGUGUAAGGUAACUGAAUGAGGUGUGUCUCAAAAGGGAAACAUCCAAAAUGUGCAGUACUAGUGGUCCUCCAGGACAGGUUUGAAAACCCCUGCACUAGACAAUCACGGGUGGUUAAGUUUGAUUAGGGUUGGAGAUAAACUAUGCAGUGCUCGGUCCUCCAGGGUCUGCAUCCCUAUCAGCUGUUGCAGUACUACACUGCACACAAUACAAAACCAUGAAGUUGAAAGAAAUAUUUACACUUGUUGAACAUUAAAGUUACAUGAACCACGUGAAGUUUAUGUAACAGCUCAUAGCAAAGCUCUGUUGUGUCACUCAAAGUUUCAGUUUCUUGUAUUAAGACUUUGGAAAUGCCAGUCAUGACAGUUUUUUCAAACGGACACAAAGUUGUCUGCUAAAAUGUAUGUGUACAAAAUGUAAAUUUGAUAUUUAUAAUUUAGAUUUUAUUGCACACUAUUUAAUUAUUAAACUACAAGCAAAAAUU